rnacentral:rRNA from 1 species
GAUGAACGCUGGCGGCGUGCCUAAUACAUGCAAGUCGAGCGAAUGGAUUAAGAGCUUGCUCUUAUGAAGUUAGCGGCGGACGGGUGAGUAACACGUGGGUAACCUGCCCAUAAGACUGGGAUAACUCCGGGAAACCGGGGCUAAUACCGGAUAACAUUUUGAACCGAAUGGUUCGAAAUUGAAAGGCGGCUUCGGCUGUCACUUAUGGAUGGACCCGCGUCGCAUUAGCUAGUUGGUGAGGUAACGGCUCACCAAGGCAACGAUGCGUAGCCGACCUGAGAGGGGGAUCGGCCACACUGGGACUGAGACACGGCACAGACUCCUACGGGAGGCAGCAGUAGGGAAUCUUCCGCAGUGGACGAAAGUCUGACGGAGCAACGCCGCGUGAGUGAUGAAGGCUUUCGGGUCGUAAAACUCUGUUGUUAGGGAAGAACAAGUGCUAGUUGAAUAAGCUGGCACCUUGACGGUACCUAACCAGAAAGCCACGGCUAACUACGUGCCAGCAGCCGCGGUAA